CUGCGGAAGGAUCAUUACCAAAGGCGUCUCUCUGGGGCGCUUUGCUCUUACCCUUUGCCUAUUCUACCUCUGUACGUCCCUUCGGCCCUGGGUGCACCCCAGCCGAAGGGCCUUGAUAAAACCUUCUUUAUCGAAAGCCGUUUUCUUCUGAUUGUGGGGUAUGUCGAAUUUACAACUUUCAACAAUGGAUCUCUUGGCUCUGGCAUCGAUGAAGAACGCAGC
rnacentral:misc_RNA from 1 species